AUGGUUCCAUGCAGAUAGCAGCCCAAUCAACCAUCGUGCAUUCAUAUGCGCAUACAUCUAUAUCUAUUGGAUCAUGCACAGAGGGUUCUCAGAGGGAGGCGGGGCUUUCUUGGGCUCCUGUUUCUUCACAACAGACACCUGUUGUUUGUGUUGUUGUUUUACGCCAUUGUCCACCAAAUCCUCCGGGAACCUUUGUGCCUUUCUACACCAUUUCAAGUCAGGAGCGUGACCCGGGGAUGACUUAAUCUGUAGUGCGUGGAGAAGCAGGAAAUCCGAGGGGAAAAAAAGGAAGGGACGAAAGAAGGAAGAGAUUAAAUACUCACGGGAAAAUGCAACCCAAAAUCUAUUGUUGACUG
rnacentral:sRNA from 1 species